GGGUCGCAUUUCCCCAGAUGCUACCAUUUAGCCAUUUACCUUUUGCAUGCACACCUAGCACCACACUACAAACAACCACGCACCACAGUUUAAUACACUCCAUUUAUUUACAAACAUGCUAGAUAAUUCACACAUACAUGUGUUUGUCAACUACCCUUCUUCCUGUCCGUCCGGCAAACUGGUCCAUGGGGAACGCGUGCCGCAUGGGAGCCAGGGCUUUAUUUUCUGUUCCGGGACAGUUCAUUUGGUUUGCUAAUGGCGGGGGUGGUGAGGUACCGUUUGUACUUUGAGUGUCGUUAUGGUUGGUGUGAUUUAUUUAUCCAAGACUGUGUUGUGGGUGUGUGUGUGUGUGUAUAUAUUGGUAUGCAUCGUUUGAUGAACAUAUAGUGUUGGGGCUAUUGUUUUGUGGUGUUUGAGUGAUCAUGUGAUAUUGAUGUGUCACCUAUCCCAGUGGUUUCUCCCAAUCGGCCCUGAUUGGUAGGCCUAUUUAAUGGGGAGACAUGGGUGGGGAAAUAGGUCGUGCAUUUGACAUGUAACAGCUUGCCGAGUGGCUGUAUUCUUUUGUGUCAUGUUUUUGGGCACUGUAAAUAAAACGGCACCAUUUUUGCAACUUUCAACUCUCUGAGCUGACUCCUGCUUUUUGACCAACUGACUCCUUGGUUGCGUCCCGUCCCGCAUGUCUAUCAUGGAUUUCUAACUGCAGUUCUGUGAGUAUCCCAACUUAACCAUGAAGAUGAACUGCAAACUGUAAGUCAUAAGUUUCUCAUUACUCUUGGGCACAUUGAUGUAUUUGGCUUCCUGUUGAGUUAACCAGUUACCUGAAGGUUGAUCUCAGUAGUAAGGAUGUUUUAUUGGUUCAUGGGUUACUUAGGUGUUUGGUUUAUGUUGGUUUUAAUGAUUUGUUAAAAUGGUUACAGGCUCCAAGUUAUUGCUGUAAGCUGGAGUAAUGGGUUGGGUUCUGAUGUCUUCAGUCUUCUUUCCAGUUACUCUCCUGAGCUCUGCAUCUUCAUCACAUGAGUAUUGCUUUACUGAUGAGGUUGUGGUCUGAGUGAGCGGAGGUGCAUACUGGGAUACAGAGCUGUCUGAAUUCUACAGGGCUGUACACACGCCCCCUCAGGGGAAACCAAGUGUUUGAGAAACCGUUGUGACGUCAGUUACAUGGACUAGAAUGUUCUUUUAAGAUGGAGACGGGGUUUCAGAAGGAGAAAUGCUGAGGGGGGAGAUGCGGGGGCUCCUCAUCUCAACAGCUAAAACACAACUGCAGUCUGACACGGAGAACCAUGGAACACAUUCAACAGUCCCCCCAGACAUUGUGACUCCUCAGGAACAGUUUCAUUUCCAAGAAGGUCUUAAUUGGGGCCAUUCCAAGAUGGACCCUGCUCCUCAAGAGCCACCCCCCUCCACUGGGUGGUCUUCUGAACAGAUGACCUCCUUCCUGUCCUCAGGCUGACUAAAGCUGCACCGUUUGCGUCUGUGAAGGCCCCUCAUUCAGGAAACCACUGGACUACAAAGACAUGACUUCAGAGACGUUGAAUCAACCUUGGACACAUUUUGGAGACGCCAAGCAUAAUCCAUCACCAAUGUGGGACGCCACUGAAAAAUGUUGCACAUAAUUUACUUCUCUGGAGACAUUGGUUGUUCUGUUCUGGGUGCCCUGGCAGGAGAGCUGGGGUUGGAUGAUGGAACGUUACUUGGCAUGAGGUUUUUACCUGCAUGAUUGUUUGGCCUUUUAUGGCACAGUGGUGUGUGUUUUGGGUUUGACAUGAGAUGGAUGAUUUUUGAGGACCUGGCAGGGGGUUCUACGUGUGUUUGAGCACCUGGCAGGGGGUUCUACGUGUGUUUGGUUCCACCUGGCAUGGGGUUCUACGUGCGUGUCCUUGGUUCUGUGUGAGUGUGUCCGGCUUGCUUUGACAGUGAUAAUGUUCAUACGGGGGUCUGUGUGAUUGGCUUGGGAUAUUGGAAUGGUCAAAUAAAUCAUACCUGAUGGACGGCCACACGUUUACUUAAGGGCCUCCAGUAGACUUGAAGAGCCCUGAGCGACGUUCCGGAGCGAUAUCCAACACACUGGGCAGGAAGGAGAGUAUCCAAAUCAAGUGUAAAAGGCUGCAAGCGGCGUGUUCAGAUCAGUGACUUCAAACUAGGACUACACCAAUCAGGAUCAAUGGAGGAUGGACACCUAAAGGCAUUCCACAAGGAGUCUGAAGUUGGAAAGGGACCUAAAUGGGUAUUCAAGAUGACCUUCAGACCUGUAAUGAGACGGCUCUUCCUACCUGGCUGGAUUGAUGGAUAGCCCUGUGGAUCUUGUCUUGCUCUCAGUUGCACGUCAUCUCAGGCUGUACUGUAUUUGUUUCGGACAGGACUAGCUGAACGAUUGGUUCCCUUAAAUCAGAAUCAAUCUGGGAACUCCAACUAGUGCGCUCUUCGAGCUGAAGUUGUGCUCUUCAGCUGAGGAGGUAAGGAAGCCUUCACUGGGGCAGGUGUAAAGAAGAUGUUUUAAAGUGUUCCAUGGUACUCUGAUGAAGACCGUUGUGUUCCACUGGCUGAGAGGAAGAACCCGCACAUCUUCCUCUUGGCCUUUCUCCUCUGAGAAUCCUGGCGCCAUCUCGAAGGAUAUUCCAGCUCAUGUAACUGAUGUCACGACAGAGUCUCAAACACUUGGUUUCUCCUGAGGGGCGUGUCUAUAGAACUGAAGACUUCAGACAGCACUGUAUCCCAGCAUGCAUCUCUGCUCACUCAGACCACACCCCCAUGAGUAGGAUGCAACACUCUAGUGAUGGAGAUGUAGAGUUUUAUAAGUAACGAGGGAGCAGACAAAGGUGAUCAGAACACAAUGGCAUAACAAGUCUGUAAAUCUUUAAACCAUGAAGAUGGUUGGAUAGUUCAGGAAUUGGGCUUUUUAUUAUGGGCAGUCCUUUCACUCAGAUGCCCACAUCUGUUACAUGAGUAUCAUACAUACAUACUCUAAGCGGCUUAGAGUACCAUAUUAAGCGCUAUAUAAAUUUCAUUUAUUAUUAUUAUUAUUCUCACUGGACCUGUACAUGUGUUGGCUGGCUGGCAUGAGUUGCUGUUGGUGAUGAGGCGGUCAGGGUGACGUUGCAGGGCUAUGGUCGGCUCUGUGAGCUCAACGUUUAGAUUUGCUCUGCGUGGUUUGUACCCUGAAUAAUCGAGAUAAUUGUAAAAUGUAGACAGGGUUUUGUAUUGAAUGAUUUUAGGUUUAUAGUUGUUGUGGGUCGUACAUGGUAGUUUGGUUCUUCGUACGGUUUUGAGUGAUAUAACUUGUACACACUGGGUGCAUAAUAUUGUAAAGGUACACUGGAUAUGAAUGACCAACAGCAACAAACGGAUCACAUCAAGGUAAGUCUGUUGGCUGUGUUUUAAUGAAGACCAUCGCUGGACUUCAGGAUCUUCCUCCGUUCAGCUCAAGGUGAGGCGCUGGUUCUGUUUUUUCUUUGGUUGGUUCCGGCCGGAAUGUUCGUAUUCCAGUCGGACAGUUUGUGCUUCCCGCCGUGGAAGGUUCUGAGUGCGGUCACUUGAUUUAGUCCCAAUGGUUAGCAUAGAACGUUGUAGUCUUGACAACCAUAAGAAACAACCUGGCAGUUAGUUGGACGGGAGUCCCCUGAGGGAAUCUGGCGGAACGUUCUGUAUUGUAUUUGCGUAACCUCGAGCCGUUGCCAACGGAAACUAUUUGUCAGUCGUUUCCAUUGGGAAUUGUUGUCCCUUAUCUUAAACUUAAGUUUGAUAUUAAAUACAUACUGACACGUACGUCGUACAAUAUGUUGAUAAUUUCCGAUGGUUGCGCCGUACUUUCAACCACGUUGACGUGACGGGACUCUCGCUGCGUACUAAACAGCGUUCUACUUGCGGGCCCAUUUUGGUGAAGGCUGAAAAUCACUUCAAGGUGGAAGACAAUUUGACAUUUCUUCAACGGUACCCAGCACCUGAAUAUGGCUGAGUUGAGUAUAUUUGAUUUAACAUCGAUAGGCCUACGGCUUAGUGUUCUUUGUUCAGCUUUUGUACGUUCUAAAUAUCUGCUGUCAUUAAUUGCCACAGAAGUUAAACCCUACCCAAUGGAAUGAUGUUAAACGACUUUGGUGCAGAGUUACCAACUGGAUAAUAUCAAAGCUAAAAUAAUGGCCGUCCUUCCCACAUGUUACAGUAGAAGAUACUCUAGAACUGUACAAGGUUAAAUAGGUAACAUGUAGUUUGUCCCAAGGUGUCUGCCUCCUCACCCAGAGCCAGACCGCCACCUCCUGUCAGAAGUCCUCCAGAACAGCUGAAAGGUGAGGCUGGGUACCGGAGGCUUGUGGUGCCAGGAUGGACCGGAGACUGAGGCUGGAGACCAGGGGCCUGCAGCGCCGGGCCAGAGGGUAACCAUCACCAAGCUCAUGAAGCACUAAAAUCCAUGACAGGAAUCCAUGGCUGAAGGAGCUGAUGGAGGAGCCGUGCUGAUGGAGUCGUGCUGGAGGCCCUGCCUGGUGAAGGACGUCUGUCGUGGGACCAGGACUCUGGCUGAGGAGAGCUGUUGGAGGAGCUGAGACGCUGGAGGACGACUAGGAAUCGACCAACAAGGAUUCCUAAGUUUAACGUGUUUCUGGAGCGGAGGCGAGCUGGUAGGGGAGCCGUGAAUCUGGAGGAUGACCAUCACUCUACCAACAAGGAUUACCAGGAAUCUGGAGGACUGAUGGAGAAGCCGUACAUCUGGAAGGCAAAUCCUGAGGACAACCAGGACGCUACCAUCAAGGAUUCCUCACACACCUGAGCUGAACCUCACCUGAUCCUGUUUGGUCAGGGGCAGACACACCUGAGCUGAACCCGCCCUGAUCCUGACAUCCUGCUAGUCCCGUCGCCUCAGUUCAUCUGAGCCUCGUCCACCAGAAGACCUGCUGAGCUCAGCGGUCUGAGGCUGAUGGAUCAAUGACCUCCAGUGGGAGUGAUCUUCUUGACCCCACAUAACUUGUUUCUGGAGCGGAGGCGAGCUGGUAGGGGAGCCGUGAAUCUGGAGGAUGACCAUCACUCUACCAACAAGGAUUACCAGGAAUCUGGAGGACUGAUGGAGAAGCCGUACAUCUGGAAGGCAAAUCGUGAGGACAACCAGGAAGCUACCAUCAAGGAUUCCUCACACACCUGAGCUGAACCUCACCUGAUCCUGUUUGGUCGGGGGUAGACACACCUGAGCUGAACCCGCCCUGAUCCUGACAUCCUGCUAGUCCCGUCGCCUCAGUUCAUCUGAGCCUCGUCCACCAGAAGACCUGCUGAGCUCAGCGGUCUGAGGCUGAUGGAUCAAUGACCUCCAGUGGGAGUGAUCUUCUUGACCCCACAUAACGUGUUUCUGGAGCGGAGGCGAGCUGGUAGGGGAGCCGUGAAUCUGGAGGAUGACAAUCACUCUACCAACAAGGAUUACGUUAGGGCCAGACUCGCGCUGUUUGUUCCAGACCAGGACUCUGGCUGAGGAGCUGAUGGAGGAGCCAAGACUCUGGAGGACGACAUCACUCUACCAACCAGGAUCCUUACCAGGAAUCUGGAGGACUGAUGGAGAAGCCGUACAUCUGGAAGGCAAAUCCUGAGGACAACCAGGACUCUACCAUCAAGGAUUCCUCACACACCUGAGCUGAACCUCACCUGAUCCUGUUUGGUCGGGGGUAGACACACCUGAGCUGAACCCGCCCUGAUCCUGACAUCCUGCUAGUCCCGUCUCCUCAGUUCAUCUGCGCCUCGUCCUCCAGAAGACCUGCUGAGCUCAGCGGCCUGAGGCUGAUGGCUGAAUGACCUCCAGUGGGAGUGAUCUUCUUGACCCCACAUGUAACCGUGUGCUUCCACACGCCUUUCCCUCACAUCUGUCACUAACCUCACAACUCUCUACUGCUUCCUCUUCUUCUUCCUUUUCUGUGGUUCGAACCUUUACACUGAAGGCGCGUCUUCCUGCCCUCAGAGGGUUCAGUGUCAGGGUUGAGAGUCAGGGUUUAGAGUCAGGGACGGAGCUGGUCAUGGAGGACUGCUUUUACACAAACCUCUUCACUUCCUUUCGGAAUGGUGGUGACUUUUUGAAAAGAUUCAUUUCGGAAAUGUUUUCCUCUGCUUUUCUUCGCAAAAUUGUAUCAAACUUCUGUCAAGUGUUUUUGUUUAUAUAUUAAA